ACGUAGGUGGCGAGCAUUAUUCGGAAUUACUGGGCGUAAAGGGUCCGCAGGUGGUUUACUAAGUCAGAUGUGAAAUUUCAGUGCUUAACACUGAACCUGCAUUUGAAACUGGUAGACUAGAGUAUGUGAGAGGUAAGCGGAAUUUGUGGUGUAGCGGUGGAAUGCGUAGAUAUCACAAGGAAGACCAAAGGCGAAGGCAGCUUACUGGCACAAUACUGACACUCAUGGACGAAGGCUAAGGUAGCGAAAAGG
rnacentral:rRNA from 1 species